UACAGAGGUCUCAAGCGUUGUUCGGAUUCAUUGGGCGUAAAGGGUGCGUAGGUGGCGCGAUAAGUCGGGUGUGAAAUCUCGGAGCUUAACUCCGAAAUUGCAUUCGAUACUGCCGUGCUCGAGGACUGGAGAGGAGACUGGAAUUCAUGGUGUAGCAGUGAAAUGCGUAGAGAUCGAGAGGAACACCAGUGGCGAAGGCGAGUUCCUGGACAAGUCCUGACGCUGAGGCACGAAAGCCAGGGGAGCAAACAGG
rnacentral:rRNA from 1 species